GAGGAGGUCGAGACCUUCUGGGGGAGAUGCCGGGAGCAGCGCAGCCUUACCCCCAACCCCAACAGGUUUGCAGUGCAGACCGUGAAAGCCCUGCUGCGCCAGCUGCUGGAUGAGGACGUGGUGAUGGUGAUCCAUCGCAAGUGUGGCUGGGACAUGCUCCUCAAGGCUGACACCCACCACUAUGCAGUGGGUCUGCUGGCCAGGGAGCUGUGCCGUGUCUCCCACUCCUUCUGCCGCAGCAUCACCAUCAACCUGCUCUCACGGCUCAGCAGGGAAGAGCC